UACAGGUGUGAUGGCGAUAUCUCGCCACUG
rnacentral:sRNA from 1 species